rnacentral:rRNA from 1 species
CACGUAGGGAGCAAGCGUUGUCCGGAAUCAUUGGCGUAAAGCGCGCGUAGGUGGUCCCGUAAGUCCGCUGUGAAAGUCAAAGGCUCAACCUUUGAAAGCCGGUGGAUACUGUGGGACUAGAGUACGGAAGAGGCGAGUGGAAUUCCUGGUGUAGCGGUGAAAUGCGCAGAUAUCAGGAGGAACACCGGUGGCGAAGGCGGUUCUCUGGGCAUGUCCUGACGCUGAGGAGCAAAAGUGUGGGGAGCGAACAGG